rnacentral:rRNA from 1 species
GGGUAUAGACCCGAAACCCGGUGAUCUAGCCAUGGGCAGGUUGAAGGUUGGGUAACACUAACUGGAGGACCGAACCGACUAAUGUUGAAAAAUUAGCGGAUGACUUGUGGCUGGGGGUGAAAGGCCAAUCAAACCGGGAGAUAGCUGGUUCUCCCCGAAAGCUAUUUAGGUAGCGCCUCGUGAAUUCAUCUCCGGGGGUAGAGCACUGUUUCGGCAAGGGGGUCAUCCCGACUUACCAACCCGAUGCAAACUGCGAAUACCGGAGAAUGUUAUCACGGGAGACACACGGCGGGUGCUAACGUCCGUCGUGAAGAGGGAAACAACCCAGACCGCCAGCUAAGGUCCCAAAGUCAUGGUUAAGUGGGAAACGAUGUGGGAAGGCCCAGACAGCCAGGAUGUUGGCUUAGAAGCAGCCAUCAUUUAAAGAAAGCGUAAUAGCUCACUGGUCGAGUCGGCCUGCGCGGAAGAUGUAACGGGGCUAAACCAUGCACCGAAGCUGCGGCAGCGACACUAUGUGUUGUUGGGUAGGGGAGCGUUCUGUAAGCCUGUGAAGGUGGCCUGUGAGGGUUGCUGGAGGUAUCAGAAGUGCGAAUGCUGACAUAAGUAACGAUAAAGCGGGUGAAAAGCCCGCUCGCCGGAAGACCAAGGGUUCCUGUCCAACGUUAAUCGGGGCAGGGUGAGUCGACCCCUAAGGCGAGGCCGAAAGGCGUAGUCGAUGGGAAACAGGUUAAUAUUCCUGUACUUGGUGUUACUGCGAAGGGGGGACGGAGAAGGCUAUGUUGGCCGGGCGACGGUUGUC